rnacentral:rRNA from 1 species
GUCCUUGUCAAAUGGCAUCUGUGGAAGCACAGGAACGCCUGUACUUUCGACAACGCGCGCCCCUCCGCUACUCAUCUUAUCCAAACUAUUCUGGAGGAAACCAGAACCUGCGCUUUGGCUGGUGCCAAGGGAUUGGCAGCUAUCAACCCGUACGAUCCACCAUAG